rnacentral:rRNA from 1 species
UACGUAGGUGGCAAGCGUUGUCCGGAAUUACUGGGUGUAAAGCGCGUGUAGGCGGGAGGCCAAGUCUGCUGUGAAAUCGCCCGGCUCAACUGGGCGGGGUCGGUGGAAACUGGUCACCUGGAGGACGGUAGAGGCGAGUGGAAUUCCCGGUGUAGUGGUGAAAUGCGUAGAGAUCGGGAGGAACACCAGUGGCGAAGGCGGUUGCCUGGAGCUUUGCUGACGCUGAGGCGCGAAAGCGGUGGGGAGCGAGUCCGG